UAGCCAUUCCUACCUUAUUCAACACAAUAAAACCACUCAAACUAGCUUUUAAACAUAUUCCAGUAAUGUACAAAAUUAUUAUUCUUCCUUUUCUACCAUCUCACAUCCUCUUCAGCUUCCCAUCGGAGAUCUUUUCAACAAAUCUCAAAGAUAAUUGGAACCGUUUGGAGUGAGCAAGAAGAAGAGGGGUUUGAAAGAACAACAGCAGCAGCCAUGGCGAAGAAGAUCAGCGUAACAAAGAAAGCCUUGAUUCCAGGUUCAAUCAAACCCUCAAGAAUGUCCAAAGGUUCACAAGAAUGAUCUCCUAGUUGUCAAAGAAGGUUCUCACAGAACGAUGCUGGUACAAGUGAUGACAUGGACAAAUCCGUGGAGGUCAGGUUUAGAGUGACUGUAGUAUCUUUCAUGUAUUCUAUUACAACAAUACGGGAAGAUGAUUUAGUCUUGUACUAGUGUGGCUUUAGACUUCUUUAAAGGUUCGUGAUUUUAGUAACUGAAAAGCAUUCCUUUCAUUUAGGGAGGGGUCAGAAAUACAAAUAAUUGUGAUGGUAAUACGACUGUUAAUAAGUUAACAUCUUCAUCCUCAAAGAAUGAGGAUGCUGCCCAUGAAGUCCAGAACUCUGCAAUGGGCACAAGAACUACAGAUUCUGCCAGGGUUACGAAGUUCACUAAAGAGCUCUCAGGACAAAUGGUCAUAUUAGGUACCAUAUAUACUUUAUUGCUUCCAGAAUGAUUUCACAACCUUUAUAUGUAUAUAUGAUCAUACUUUUGAUUUGAUUAUCAUGGAAAUACUUUAUUGUUAUA